AUCGAGUUCGUCUAAGAGGUGAGGACACUAUUCUCAUAAGGUAGAAAUAGAGGUUCGAAUCCUCUACUGGAUA
rnacentral:tRNA from 1 species